UACGAAGGGGGCUAGCGUUGCUCGGAAUUAUUGGGCGUAAAGCGCACGUAGGCGGCUUCUUAAGUCGGUGGUGAAAUCCUGGAGCUCAACUCCAGAACUGCCUUCGAUACUGGGAAGCUCGAGUCCGGGAGAGGUGAGUGGAACUGCGAGUGUAGAGGUGGAAUUCGUAGAUAUUCGCAAGAACACCAGUGGCGAAGGCGGCUCACUGGCCCGGUACUGACGCUGAGGUGCGAAAGCGUGGGGAGCAAACAGG
rnacentral:rRNA from 1 species